GCUGAUUCCAAGUCUGUUCUUUGGGAAAUAUUGCAUCCUGGGAUCCUUGGAAGAUUAAAAAUAAAAAUAAAAGAGCAUGAGUUAUUUCCAUUGAGAACGGACCUGAGCUGAGAUAUUUGAUAUCUACAGAUGCAAAAACUUGACUGAGGUAAGAUAUUUGAUACCUAC
rnacentral:lncRNA from 1 species